GGCCGGAGACGCCGAAGCCUGAGGUCCCUCCGACGACGGCAGCCGCGGCCGCCAUGGCUUCUCCGACGCCGCUGCCUUCUCCCGCCUUCCUGGCCUUCGCGGGCUCCUGCGAGCAGGACGUGACGCUGGCCAAGUCCUUCUGGAACUCCGUCACCCUCCAGCCGCCGCUCGAGUCCCGCCUGGGGCCGCGAAGGGACUCGGCCAGCUGCUCCGGCUCCAGGAAGGGCUCCCGGGCGGAGGCGCCGAGCGGCACGAACCUGCAGGUCGCCCACGGCGUCGACUACAGUGAGGAGGGAGAAGAAGCGCCCCUGGUUCCUUGGGCUUCCCUGCCUCCCUCCCUUCCUCCUCUCGUCCCCACUUCUUUUCCCCCGGCAGGGCUUCCUCCUCCCCGCAGGCUCCGAGUGAGGGGAAGGUCAGGAUGCCCCGAGGCACGUGCAGAGAAAAGAUGAUGACAAAAGCACAGAAACUAGUAUUGCUGAGGAAAGUGAUUCGAAGGAACAGUAUAUUAAGAAGAGCAAGAAGAGAGAAGAAAUAUUAGCAUUACUGAAGAAACAAAGGGAAGAGAGGAUUGCGAAAGAAAUGGUAUCUGAUCCAUAUAAGCCAAAGACCAGACCUCGUGAAAGCGUAAUUACAAAAAAGGUAUCGGAUUCCGACCUUGAGGAUAAAGAAAGUGUAAGUGCUUUACCCUGAGCGUUUUGGUCAAUGUGAACAACUUGGAGAGAGAGAGGUCUUUGUCUAUUCAGAAAUCCUGUCCUGUUCGUCAUCGUAUUCUGCCUUGGGAUGUUCGGAUGCUGAGCCCUUGUGGGACUCCCUGGCUAACUUUCUUCCUAAAGAAUUUGAGAAGAGUGCCCUAUGUCAAAAGCUAAUAGAUUAUUCAAUUUGGCUGGUAAAUUUAUUAGUUUGUCAUGCCAAGCAACAAGGCAUGGUUAGAAAUGCUGAAUACAAUAAACUGGCUUUGAAACACCAGCCUGUAUCAUGCAUGUUGAAAAGUUAAUCUUUCAGUGCACUUAGGAGUGAUCUUUCUAUCAUUUUCUGGUUUGGUAGAGGCCAUGCCCCCAAGAUUAAAACCCAGAUGUGAAGUUUCUCUGUGACAAAAAAUGGUGAUCAGGAACCUGUAAUGCACAUUUUUAAGAAAAUGUCUCUCCACAAAAACAUGUCAACUGAAAUAAAAUACUCUAGUUUUCAGGGUUUACUUGAUGUCCUAUUAUAUUACGUCUUUAAGGCUGCAAUCCUGUGCACACUUCCUGGGGAAUAAGCUCCAUUGGGACUUACUUCUGAGUAAACCUGCAUAGGAUUUCACUACAUAGUAACCAUUUUUCUCUGGCAGAAAAUUGCCUAGUGAAUUUUGCCUAGAAUCCCUGCUUCAGUACUGUCUUUUCGCUGGUCUUUGGCAUUAAUGCAGGGAGAUAAAUUAGCAAGAGCUAAAUCUACCACCUUGUUUUCAGUGUGCACAAAUUGACACUGUUGAGUUGUGGGGACAAGAAUUUUUGUUCUACUCUAUGACUUUAACAAUACUUUACACUCUUAAAACCAUGAAGAAAAUAGUUGGGAUGGGUACAGCUGUGUCAAUAUUGAAGAAGAAACGUUUUGCAUCCAUCUGUAUAGAGCUUUGCAAAAUAUAAAUGUAUUUUUUAAAAUAAAUGUAUGUAUUUCA